rnacentral:rRNA from 1 species
GUUAGGAAUAUUGGACAAUGGGCGCAAGCCUGAUCCAGCCAUGCCGCGUGAGUGAUGAAGGCCUUCGGGUUGUAAAGCUCUUUAGCCGAUGAUUAUAAUGACUGUAGUCGGAAAAUAAGCCCCGGCUAACUUCGUGUCAGCAGCCGCGGUAAUACGAAGGGGGCGAGCGUUAUUCGGAAUCACUGGGCGUAAAGCGUGCGUAGGCGGCUUUGCAAGUUGGGAGUGAAAGCCCAGGGCUCAACCCUGGAAUUGCUCUCAAAACUGCAAGGCUCGAAUUCGGGAGAGGAUAGCGGAAUUGUCAGUGUAGCAGUGAAAUGCGUAGAUAUUGACAGGAACACCAGUGGCGUAAGCGGCUAUCUGGACCGAUAUUGACGCUGAGGCACGAAAGCGUGGGGAUCAAACAGGAUUAGAAACCCGGGUAGUCC